UAGUGCUCAUGACAACCUAACGUUCACUUCUCUCGAAGCCUUCAAAACCCUCCGGCAAAAAAAAUAUUUGAGCCCAGAGGGAACUUGCAUUCUGUGCUGUAAACGCUUGUUACAACUUCAAGCUACAGACUUUUGGUCGAAGGGAUAUAUGUGUGACUGGUUUGACACACAGAUGGAAAGAAAAUGCUUAGAAUUGUCUUCAUCAUUGUCGUGUCUCUGCCUUCUGUAACAUCAACCACAAAAAAUUGUAGCUCGGUGACGUCGACCAAGUGCUUUCAACGAUGUGGCAGCACCUCAUGUAUGUGUCUAUCAAACGACACCCAUUAUGCUUACAGAGAAUGUCACCAGUCCUGCGGAAAUACACAGUGCAAGGUACUGACGUGUACAUCCGGGACUUGCCAUCAGGAGUGUCAUGACUGCCGCAUGGAAUGUACUGGUGACGUCGGUUAUUGUAAUCAGCGGUGUUUGUCAGGAGCAUGCUCCUUUAAGUGUAGCGCCAAGGAAUGUGUACAAAAAUGUGCAGGUAAUGAUUGCAAACACUUGCCUACGGAACACGAAGAGCCUUUAAUACCACGCCUCUACCUGGUCAUCUUAGCUGGUCUGUUUGCAGCUACUACAAUUUUGACUUGUUUAGCUUUGAUGUUGUCUUGCAGCCAGAUGAGUUAUUGCACGAGAAAAACUUCCAUGCUUGUUUCUCGUGACCUUUGCAGCAGCUUAGAAAGUCUACCAACAAAACCUUCAGUUGUAUAGUACAAGAGCCCACGGGACACCCAUUCAAAGCGUUAUUAACAAAAUAACCAGUUGUGUUGCACACCAUGAAACACAGGAUAUCCACGCACGAGACUUUAUAGUGUUCCUCACUACAUGAAGGGUGGAACGAGUUUUGUGAAAACGAAGUGAAGUUGUAGCCUUGGAGAUAAAGACUAUUCCAGUAGGAUGAACUACAAGUAGCUUUAGUAGGUUGUGAACUGGAAUUGUGUCAGUAUUUAAUGAAAAAGAAAAUACAGUUGUUAUCCUUUUAUAUUUGUUGAGUGCAAGAAUUAAAAAUUGUCACAGUAAA